UACGAAGGGGGCUAGCGUUGCUCGGAAUUACUGGGCGUAAAGGGCGCGUAGGCGGAUAUUUAAGUCGGGGGUGAAAGCCCAGGGCUCAACCCCUGGAACAGCCUUCGAUACUGGAUAUCUUGAGUACGGGAGAGGUGUGUGGAACUCCGAGUGUAGAGGUGAAAUUCGUAGAUAUUCGGAAGAACACCAGUGGCGAAGGCGACACACUGGCCCGUUACUGACGCUGAGGCGCGAAAGCGUGGGGAGCAA
rnacentral:rRNA from 1 species